GUAUAUAUACACACGUAAAGAGCAACGUAAAUGAUAUAAACUCUUAACACUCUUAGGCUAAGUAUACAGCUGUACAAUAUUCUACUAGCUUAGAUAAACAAUAAUAACAUAAGAUAAUGAUAAAUCCUAACACAAACCCAACAGGGUCAACCUCUCCUGGGGGAACGGCUAGAGGAAUCCUUUAUGCAAGUCCUAAUGGAUGCCACCAACAACUUCAACCAACGGCACAGCGUAUCACGGAAAACUCGACGAUGGCCGGGAAAUAUUCAUCGAAAGGGAGAAGAUUAUACCGGACAGAUGAUGACGCCGACUUCAACUCUUUUCUCAACGGGCUCAACUCCAUUUCUUUGCUGAACCAGCACAUGCACCUUGUUCACCUGCUUGGGUUUUACGAAGACCACGAGGAAGGAUUUUAGUCCAUGAGUUCAUGAAAAAACGCUCUCUCUAUGAUCAUCUCCACAAUCACAAUAGCUAUCGCAAUCAGCAGCCUCAAAUCCAAUCCACUUCCCCUCUGUUUUCUUCCUGGGCAGCUAGCCUUAAAGUGGCACUCCAAGAGCAAUCGAGUUUCUCCACCAAAACUCCAUCAUGCACGGAGACAUCAAGUCCUCAACAUAUUUUUGGAUGCCACGUGGACGGCCAAGGCACUAUGGGAUACACUGACCCAGAAUACUAUCGCCUCCAUCAAUUGACCUCGCAGAGCGAUGUGUAUAGUUUUGGAGUAUUAUUAUUAUGAUUAUUAGAAUUGCUUUAUGGGUUGAGAGCAAUUCAUAAGUAUGAAAAUGGAAUACCAAGAAAUGUGGUUGAUUAUAUGGUGCCGUAUAUCGUUCACGAUGAAAUACAAGAGUUUUGGACCCUAAAGUGCCACCCCCUACCCCAUUUGAGGUAGAGGCCUUAGCACAUGUAGGGUACAUGGCCACCGAUUUUGUAGUGUUGGAAGGCCGAGAAAGACCAACUAUGUUGGAGAUUGCAGGUUACUUGGAAAGAGCGGUGGCAGCCGGAGCACAGCGGACGCAGAAUACCCUAGUUGUUGUCCAUCGAGUCUUUGAUUUGGCUGUGCGCCUUCCAUUAGGCUAGGCUAGGUAGCUGCCACACCUCAUGACAUGUUACAUUAUUGGUGAAAUAGUAAAAUUUUCUUAUUAUUUGGGUCGCAUUUGCGUACAAAUUUAUUAUUAUUAUUAUUAUUUUGACAAGCAAUUUGCAUACAAAUUUAUGUACAUUACAUGAAUGGAUCAUUUUGUGGGUUAUGUAACUCUAAAAAACAAUUUCUUUGGCUUGCCAAAGAAAAAUCAUACAUUUAUGGGAACACUCUUCUUCUCUAGCUACUUCAGAAGAACUUCGAAGAUACACCAAAAAAUGAUUGCAUUGCACAUAAUCAUUCACCCCUGCCAUUUUUGGAGACGGUUAAAUGGGGUUUUAACCAUUCUUCUGGUAAGUUCUUCUAUGCUGCCACAGAUUCUGAAGCUUCCUUCCUUUGCUCAAGAAGUUUUGUCAGCACAACAUCAAUUUGGA